rnacentral:rRNA from 1 species
GACGAACGCUGGCGGCGUGCUUAACACAUGCAAGUCGAACGAAAAAUCAUUGAAAGCUUGCUGAUAUGAUUUUUAGUGGCGGACGGGUGAGUAACGCGUGAGGACUUGUCCAAUACAGGGGGACAACAGUUGGAAACGACUGCUAGUACCCCAUAAGCCCUUGGUAAAAGGAGCAAUCCGGUAUUGGAGAGACUCGCGUCCUAUCAGCUAGUAGGUGAGGUAACGGCUCACCUAGGCGAAGACGGGUAGCCGGCCUGAGAGGGCGAACGGCCACACUGGAACUGAGACACGGUCCAGACUCCUACGGGAGGCAGCAGUGGGGAAUAUUGGGCAAUGGGGGCAACCCUGACCCAGCGACGCCGCGUGAGUGAAGAAAUCCCUCGGGAUGUAAAGCUCUGUUGUGUGGGAAGAUAAUGACGGUACCACACGAGGAAGCCCCGGCAAACUACGUGCCAGCCGCCGCAGUAA